UUCCUCAUGCAACCAGACCUCUCCAGCAGACAGCCUUCAGACAAGCUUCUACAUCAGACAAAUUCCAGAUGGACUUCUCUAGCAAUUGGACUCCAGCCGAAUUUUUCCAACAGAAAGUUUUCAUCUGGGCUUCUACAGCCGAUGACUUCUGUCUAUAGCAUCAAUGCCUAAGGCACCCAACAACAGUUAACCCGUCAGCAACCUCAAAAAUAUCCGAGCUUCUCUUAGAUUGCUGAGAUAGAGAGCUAUUCCGCUCCACCAAACAUCCCAACCGAACUUCAGCCGUCCGGCCCGAACUCUCCGGCA
rnacentral:lncRNA from 1 species